UUCAGAUUUGGCAUGACGUUUUCUGUCGUCGCGUGACUAACCUUUUUUUUCCAACGGUUAUUAAUUUUAAAGAAGCUUUGCAAGUGCCUUCGGCAACUCCUUAUGGGUACUUACAUGCAAUUCACAUUCUUCACCGAGAUGUGAAGGUGAUUUUGGGGUUUGCCAAGUAUCCACCGUCGGAGAUGAGGAGUGUGGUGC